rnacentral:rRNA from 1 species
CUAUGUUCCUAGGUCAGAUGAUAAUACCAACUGAGUUUAAGCAUAUCAAUAAGCGGAGGA